GAUUUUGCUGUUGUUUCUAAUCCUGGAGGCUAUUGACCCUAGUGAAAAAUCAAUAGAAGUCCAGAAGAACUUAUCAGGCGAAAGCAUGUUCUGGAAUGAAUCUUGAAAACAUUCUAGGAAUUCCUCAUCAAGGGUACCGACCUCAGAGUUUUUUGAAGAGAUGACAAAGGUGGUGGACAGAGGAUGACAGUGUCGCUGGCAAGGCAGCAUUUAUUGCCCGUCCCUAAUUAUCCAGAGGACGGUUGAGAGUCAACCACAUUGCUGUGGGUCUGGAGUCACAUGCAGGCCAGACCAGG